rnacentral:pre_miRNA from 1 species
AAUAAGUGCAGCCGUGGAUAUUCGUGUCCAACAUUUGACCGUCCGUCUUAUUUGAAAAAUUAAUGAAAAAAAUUAAAAAAAUUAGCCACACAUAAAGUAUUAUUCAUAUUUUAUCAUCUAAUAGCAAUAAAAAUACUAAUAAAAAAAUUUCAAAUAAGACGAACGGUCAAACGUUGAACGUGAAUAGUGUAAAACUGCACUUAUU